rnacentral:rRNA from 1 species
UACGAAGGGUGCAAGCGUUGCUCGGAAUUAUGGUGCGUAAAGGGUAGGUAGGUGGUCUCAUUUGUCCGGGGUGAAAGCCUUGAGCUUAACUCAAGAAGUGCCUCGGAAACGGUGAGACUAGAGUCUUGGAGAGGGUCGUGGAAUUCCCGGUGUAGCGGUGAAAUGCGUAGAUAUCGAGAGGAACACCAGUGGCGAAGGCGAGCCCCUGGACAACACCUGACACUGAGGCACGAAAGCCGGGGGAGCAAACAGG